rnacentral:rRNA from 1 species
CCUACGGGGGGCAGCAGUGGGGAAUAUUGGGCAAUGGGCGCAAGCCUGACCCAGCAACGCCGCGUGAAGGAAGAAGGCUCUCGGGUUGUAAACUUCUUUUGUCAGGGACGAAGCAAGUGACGGUACCUGACGAAUAAGCCACGGCUAACUACGUGCCUGCAGCCGCGGCAAUACGUAGGGGGCAAGCGUUAUCCGGAUUUACUGGGUGUAAAGGGCGUGUAGGCGGGGAAGCAAGUCAGAUGUGAAAACCACGGGCUCAACCUGUGGCCUGCAUUUGAAACUGUUUUUCUUGAGUGCUGGAGAGGCAAGCGGAAUGCGGGGUGUAGCGGUGAAAUGCGUAGAUAUACGGAAGAACACCAGUGGCGAAGGCAGAAUGCUGGACAGUAACUGACGCUGAGGCGCGAAAGCGUGGGGAGCAAACAGGAUUAGAUACCCUGGUAGUC